AAUACAUAGUGAGUGAGAAAGGUGACUGGAAAGGAAAAACUCAAUGCAUCAUGGGAAUCCCCCGGCAGCCUACAUCUAUUGCAGCAUAACUAAGGGAGGAUUCAGGGUCACCUGGUCCAGCCCUAACUAUAUGCUUUAGCAAAAAGGAAAGUUUGAAGCCUAAUCUUGAAAGUAGAGAUAGUGUCUGUCUCCUGAAUCCAAACUGGAAGCUGGUUCCACAGAAGAGGGGCCUGAAAACUGAAGGCUCUGCCUCCCAUUCUACUUUUAACAUCACAACUAAUCAAUGAGGCACCUGUGUGCAUGCUGGCUCUGAGUGAAAAGGUGAUGUCUGCUGUUGACUUAACAUGAAAGCAAAGAACAAAGAAGACCACAGCAACAAAACAAUCAGCUGAAAGAUGCUUUCAAUAAAAACUAAAAAAGAUUUGAUUUAUUAAACUUGAUGAACUGUUAACAUAAAGUUGUUCAAAACAGCUUUAACUCGGUUAAAAAUGAUUUUAUAUUUGGACUGAAUAUUGUUACUCAGCCACUGGUCAGGUCCUGUGUUGCCUGAGCAUUGCAUAUGUUCAGCCUUGGUAGUUCAGUCUAUGUUACAGCUGCCUACACGAGAAGAAUCAGUUUCCUUUUAUUGAGAUCACAAAUUCAUCGUAUUUAUGUCUGCGACGACAGGAGGAGGAAAUAUGGGCCCUUUUAUUGCCACAUCAUUAUAUUAUUAUUUGCUGGAACUGGAUGGGCAGCCGAUUCUCAUUUAUUCAAAGAAUGAGUUAAAAUCCUCCAAUCACAUUAGUUUCUUGUUUCCUGGAUGGCUUGCUCUACAGCCAAUGGUUCCUUUGGAUUGAACCAUUUCUCAGCCCACAACAACAAAUACUUGACGACUGCAAUGCUUUGUGUUCCCCGGAAAUGUAGCAGUAGUGUGACUUAGAUGCACAUUAAAUGUAUCAAAAGAAAAAGAAGUGUUAUAUUGAUGUGGUACACACCAUUGAAGAGUUUCUCAUUUGUUUUUAACCUUAUUUAUAAAGCUACAUUUUCUCCCUGUUCACUUUACAUGCGAUUACAGGUUCAUUUUUAUUGGUUUUCCACUCACAUGUAAUGCAUUUAAUAGCAAUAUUUAAUAAUUCAUUUAAUUUAUUUAAUAAAAUAAAAGCUUUUAGUAUGUUUUUGAGGCGCUCACUAUGAAAACAUUUCUGUAACCAUCACCUCUGAACCAUUUAAGGGGACACAGAGUCUUAGAUCCAUUUAAGGCUGCCCUACAAGGAUGAUAGGAUUGGGACAUUAUCACUCCCGAGGCGUAAGAUAGUGAUGAUUUGUCCCGUGGUGUUCCUGAGGAAUGUGAAAGGUGACGUUCUUAUGCUACGCGCCAGGUUAUGGAUGAAAUCCAGCAGAAUGACGCUCCCGCGGUAAUACACGUUCCAGCCAUGUAUUCCCGCCCUGACCCUCACCUCAACCAGCACUUUCACGUUAGAUACUGUUUUCCAAAGCGAUUUAAGUAAAACGAACGUGCAUGUGUAGAUUCAUUCCAAACGGUUCUCAUGUUUCCUCAUUUUUCUGAUCUCGUGAUCUAGGGACGUGUUGGGUGCCCGGAAGCACAAUAUACCUACAAUUUGUCACGUAGCGUAAAAUGUUAGGCUUUGGGAGUGAGAACAUUAUUAGUCUGCCUCUGGAAAAGGCAGAUGAUUACUUGUAAAGUACACAUGUCCACUACUAAUAAAAACACUCGAGUCUUAAUAUAUUCUAAGACUGUUUUCUGUCCAAUUUGUGGAUUAUUGUCAGUCUGAGAGUGUUGGAGAGAUGUACUGCAAAAGGACUAGAGCUGUUACUGAUGGUCUGAGGCAUGCAACCUGAGGCUUGGCUGCAGUACAAACCCAUCCACCACCCCAGCACUCAAAAUCUCAGUCUGUCUUAUUGCAAGGAGACAAUUGCUCCUCGUACCAUUGCCAUUUUGGCCUGUUGGAACUUGGAAACUGUGUGAUUUCACAUUUAACCACAGAACUGUUGUAACCCAGCUAUAGUGACACAAAGACGGACAUUUGUGAAGGGGAGGGGGAAAUUUCUAAUGCUUGCUAUGCUGAAGUUUAAAAGCUCUUUGUAAGUGCUGAGAGCUGAUGCCCACGCUGGAGUCAGAGCAGCAUCUGUGUGACGAGGGGUUAAUGUGUGAAAGACACAUUUGAGGAAAUUGCCCUCUUAUCGCAGUCAUUGCCGGUGAGUAUCAUAGGCUGAGAGGAUAAUGACUGGAAGCAUUAGGCAGUGUUCUACAGCGAUAGGCUGUUAGGGUGAGGAUAGGCUAGAAGCUCCUCUGAAAUCAGCCCAAUAACCAAUGCAUGCAAGAGCCCUUCUUUUGUUUCAUUAGUUCAUUAUGACGAAACGCUGGUUAGCAUCUCAGCUACUCUGGUUGUGGACUCUAAUAUGAAAGUGACUUCAGUGAGUGAAAAGUCGUCAUAUUAAGAGACUGUGAGACCUGUAAAUAAAGGGUUAAUAGACUAAUGCGUAAGUUGCUGCUGUAACUGAAUGUUUCCCAUUAAUUGAUAUAGCAUUUUAUUAAUCAUGUACAGCCAUUUCUAACAGCACAUAGUCAGUCAGGUCCUCUUGGCAGUAAUCAGGUGAGUUUAGACCCUUUCCCGCGUGCUCAAGCACCCCCCCAAACAUAACUAUAAUAAUAAUAAUAAAUUUUACUAUCAUUUUCUGGAAUUAACUUCAACUGUUGUAUUUUCCUAACUUGUCUAUUGACAACAGAAUAGAAUGAAAACAGGUUUCACGUCCAGUGUUGUUGAUGUUGUGUUUGAAGGUAACAUUGUAAAGUGUAUCCAAUUGAACUGACGUUUCCAAAUGUGAAAAGGGUUGAUUACAUUAGUAAACAGCAUUGUGAGGGAGCAAGUAGCAAAGGCAUAAAAGACACAGGAAAAAAUAUCUUUAAAAUGGGUUCUCUUUAUUUUAACCCUCAAAAACAAAACAAAAACGUACAAAGACAGGAUUCAAAAAUAUAAUCAGUAGGCCCAUAAAAGAGGUCAACUAAACUCAGUUUUCGGAGAUGAAUUUUGUUUACUCAAAUUUAGCUUUUGUUGGAGGAUGUGUUUGUGCGUGGGGGGGGGGGGGGGGGGGGGUGCGCGAACAUUUUUCUUGUAAAAAAAAAAAAGUUUGGGAACCACUGGGCCAAACCAUUUACACACACACACACACACACACACACACACACACACACACACACACACACACACACACACACACACACACACACACACUAAAUGCAGGUCCAACAAAAAAAAAAAAAAAAAAAAAAAAAACCCAAACAAAAAUAAUGCAUUUCACGUGACCUUUCCAAGCGCACACGAACCCACUAUUCGAACCCCGGAACACCAUACCAUCGGCUUGCAUAACCACUCAUAUAAUCGGCGAUCACAGGCAGUCUAUGCGACUGGCUUUAUUAAAGGUAAGUAAAAAAAAAUAUGUUGGCCAUCCUCCUGCCGCUCAAAACAUACCUCUCUCCCCUUUCUGUAAUCUGCCCGGUCGACUAAAAGACGUGCAGCCACGGUAGUGUAGAAACUAAUGGUGGUGGUGCGUGUAUGCGCUCAGGUCACCUGUCUGCGGCCCGAGACUGUUACUCCAUCACAUCAUCCCCUUCCACCCGAAGGUUGGCGUUGUGCGGCAACUUUGAGAGAUAAUCUGCCACUACAUUGAGCUUGCCUGGUCUGUGACGGAUGGUGAAUUAGAAUGGCUGCAGUGAAAGGUACCAUCGUGUCAGCUGGCUGUUAUGGUCCUUCAUGGAAUGGAUCCAGGUGAGUGCUCGGUGGUCAGUUUCCAACUCAAACUCCCGUCCCAGUAAAUAAUGCCCAAGUUUCUCCAGGGCCCACUUAAUGGCCAAGGCCUCCUUCUCCACAGUUGAGUAGUUGGUCCCUCGUGGCAGCAGCUUUCGGCUUAGGUAUAGGACCGGAUGCUCUUCUCCAGGGUCCCCUUGGGCCAGCUCUGCUCCCAGGCCCAUUGCAGAGGCGUCAGCCUGGACCAGAAAUUUCUUCCUGAAGUCUAGGCUCCUGAGAACUGGGGUCAUACACAGGCAGGUUUUCAGCAUAUUGAAAGCUUGUUCACAUUCCACUGUCCAUGUUACAGGAUUCUGUUGGUCCUUGCUGGUCAAAGCCGUAGACAGGGUCCGCAAUAGUCGCAAACUGGGGCACGAAUCUUCGGUACCAGCCAACCAGCCCCAGGAAAGACCGGACUUCCUUUUUGGUGUGAGGCCGAGGACAUUUCUGGAUGGCUUCCACCUUAUCCAUCUGUGGACACACCUCACCUCUGCCCACUUGGUAGCCAAGGUAGUGGGUCUCCUGCCGUGCCCACUCACAUUUAGAGGGGUUGAGGGUCAACCCUGCCUUAUGGAUUCUUCCAAGGACUUCGGACAGGUGCUGCAGAUGCUCUUCCCAGGUGUUGCUGAAGAUCACUACAUUAUCCAGGUAGGCAGCACUUUAGGGGUCACACCCCUGUAGUAAGUUCUCCAUCAGCCUCUGGAAGGUUGCAGGUGCCCCAUGUAGCCCAAAUGGCAUCACCGUGAACUGGAAAAGGCCGGCAGGUGUCCGGAAGGCGGUGUAGGGUCAAGAGGACUCCUCCAGUGGCACUUGCCAGUAACCCUUGCACAGAUCCAGGGUGGUGAUGUACCUGGCCGUUCCGAUCUUCUCCAGCAAAUCCUCGAUUCGAGGCAUGGGGGUAGGCAUCAAACCUGAAAUGGAAUUAAGCUUCCAAAAAUCAAUGCAAAUGCGUAGUGAGCCAUCUUUCUUGGAGAUGAUGACCACCGGCCUACACCAUUCUGAGCAAGGCAGCUCAAUCACCCCGAGCUCCAGCAUCUUCUCCACCUCUUGGCGCAAUUUUUCCACUAAGUGUUGUGGAACCCGGUAUGGACGUUGGCGGAUGGGAUGUCCAUCCUUUAGGCAUAUCACAUGUUCGACAAGGGUGGUCCUGCCGGGGUUAACUGAACACAGAGAUGGAGUCUCCCGAAGGAUUUGGAGUAGCUCAACAGCCUCCUGUGGUCUAAGAUGAGUCAGCACCAGAAAUAUUGGAUCGGAUCUCUGCUCGGGUUCUGUCUUCCCUUCUCUUGGCACUUCUCUUGCCAUCAGAGCUUUCGCAGGGGCCUGGUGUGCAUGUUCUUCCCAUUCUUUCAGGAGAUUCACAUGGUAAGUCUGCUUUGGUUUCUUCUUUUCAGGGUGAUGACUCUCAUAGGUCACUGGCCCCAUUCUGCGAAGAACUGUGUAUGGCUCUUGCCAUUUCACCAGAAGUUUACUGUUGGCUGAAGGAAGAACACCUUUUGACCAGGUUAAAAUUCACGGUGCGGGACCUGUUGGUCUUCUUUGAGCGUCUCGCAGGUUGACUUCAGCCUCCUCAUGGUAUCUUUCCCAUCUCUCAUUUCCAGCACAAAUUGCACCACUCCUUUAUCAUUUGGAGCAGAAGCAGGAGCUGGUUGUGAAAGAGCUGCAUCGACCUGAGGUAAAGUUAGUCCCUUGGUCUGUCAAAAUCUCAUCUGGUAUCCCCACCCUGGAGAACAGCUAUACCAGUGCACGCAGAGAAUUGGCUUCUGGGAAGCGAGUUGCAUAAUCACACACCACCAAAAUGACCCCAACUACUUUUUACCAGAGGUCCCACAAUGUCCAUAGCUAUCCUACAGAAGGGACUGGAGAUGACAGGAAGUAGCUGUAGCAGGACUCUGUCAGGCUUGCGGGCUGGACAAGUUUUCUGGCAGGUAGGGCAUGUACAGCGAUAUUUCUGUAUGUCUGUGUACAGUGACGGCCAAAAGAAAUGUGAGCUAACACGCAUAUAGGUUUUUUGGUGACCCAGAUAACCUGCCCAGGGGAGGGUAUGUGCUAGGUGCAUAAUGAGGCGCCUACAACUAGAAGGUAUCACAAGCCCUUGGUGGUCACUGUCAACUGCAUACAACACAUUUUUGAACUUCUCUUUCCCUCCCCAUUUUCCAGUUCCCCCUUCAGUCACAUUAGCAAACAAAACUUUCAGCGUUUCAUCCUCCCUUUGUAACAAAGUGAAAUGCAGGUCCAACAAAAAAAAAAAAAAACCCAAAAAAACCCCAAAAACCCCCCAAUCAAAAUAAUGCAGUUCAAGCGACCUUUCCAAGCGCACGCGAACCCACGAACCCCCGGAACAUCAUACCAUCGGCUUGCCCAACUACUCGUAUAAUCGGCGAUCACGGAGAGUCUACACGACCGGCUUUAUUAAAGGUAAGUAAAAAAAAAUAAAAUAUGUUGGCCACCCUCUGUGCCGCUCAAAUCUCACCCCUUUCUGUCAUCUGCCUGGUCGACUAAAAGACGCGCAGCCACGGUAACCCAGCGCGACAAGUGUAGAAACUAAUGGUGGUGGUGUGUGUAUGCGCUCAGGUCAGCUGUCUGCGGCCCGGGACGGUGUAACUCCGUCACAUGACUUCAGAAACAUGACUUGAACAAUUUUUUUCCCACGAAGAAAUGCGAUAAAAAAAAAAAACUAUCUCUUUACCCGUUGGCUUUCUGUGGUUGUCAUGCGACUGGUUAUGGCAGUUAAUAAUACAACAGCUUCUUACCAUUCUUUGUGUCUCUGUUUAUCUCUGUGACUGUUGUCUUGUAAUAGCCCGGGCGUGCUAGCCAUUUGUUCCUACAAUCCUUUGCUGUUUUACCCCUGAAAUGACGUCACAUUUUCAAACUCUACAAACUGCAAGGGAUAGAACUCCUCUUGAACACUUGCCUGUCCAGAGGUGUGGACUCGAGUCACAUGACUUGGACUCGAGUCAGACUCGAGUCAUUAAUUUUAUGACUUUAGACUUGACUUGAAAAAAUGUUCUAAGACUUGUGACUUGACUUGGACUUUUACACCAAUGACCUGGGACUUGAAUUGGACUUGAACCGGUUUACUUGAAAAGACUUGAUAUUUCACCCCAAAUAUAAAAUUUAACAUGCAUAUUAUAUAGAGAUUGAAAAUGUGACAUCAUUCACGGGUAGAACCGCAAAGGAUUCUGGGAACUCGUGGCAAGCGGUACUAGCGCACGCAGGCUUUCAAUUAAAAUCUGUUACACAGCGAUAAAAAGAAACACAAAAAAAUGUCAAGAAGCUGUUGUAUUAUUAACUGCAAUAGCCGGUCGCAUGACAGCCACGGGAAGCCGACGGGUAAAGAGAUCGGUUGUUAUCGGAUUACGUCGUUGAAGAGAAAUUGUUCGAGCCAUGUUUCCGAAGUAACAAAGACGCGACGGAUGGACUGGAUUGCAGCCAUUCAAAGACCAAAUAUAACGUCCCAGAACCCUCCAGCUCACAGGUUAGUCUGCUCCAAGCAUUUACACGAAGGUCAGUCUGCUGUUGUAGUUAAUGCGUCAUUUUCAUAACAUAACUGGUGAUAUAGGUUACAAGCAAGUCUGGCGCUGAACAGAAAUUGUCGCGCUAUGCUCCUUUGUUUAUUGUGCAUAAAUAGUGAAUUGUCCUGACACAAUAUUGUGUUUUGCUUCUGUUAUUAUGGUACACUGACAAAAACAUAUACUUUUAUUCACAGGGUAAAACAGGUUUUUUGUAUCACUAAUUGCCCAGUGCGAUUACAACAUACAAUAUUAUUGUCACUGCUACAUUUCUGUGAUGCUACCAGAAAUUAUUUCCACUACUAAUUAAUUACCGUUGAGCUCAAAGGUCCUAUUAAUAAACGGUUAAGGAAUGUGUAUUUAUGAAGACAAUUUGUGAGACUGGUAAACUUAUGAUACGUACGAUGGUCUUUCGUUCUACACGGUGCAUUUCAAGGUCCUGCACCCAUCUGUCGGUAAACUGUACCUGGGCUUGUUGCAGUGACCUGAAGUUACUAAACUUCAUGAGUGUGUGCACUCACUCCAAGAACCGUAUGAUUAUAAAUAUGCAUAUAAAUGUGCUACGAUGAGAUAGCUGACUUCAUCUAACUAGCAAAUGUUGUCCAGGCUACGUUGGUGAUACAGUUUUUUUUAAUGUGUAUGAUAUUUUUGUCAUGCGAUUUUAAAGCCGGUCCUACAACCGCAUCCAAGAAUAACAUGCAGCUUAUCUCAGAACUGUCGGUGAAAAUUAUUCUUGGAGCUAGGUUUAAUUGAGCUGCAUUUUAAAGAGGUGCAAUUUCACAAUUUGUGUAUAUUUUCUAAGUUCACUAUUUUGUCAUGUGUUGAGAAAAACACAGAUUUUAAAAUUACAUGGUCUAAUAUUUACAUUUAGCAUAACUGCAACAUUAUUUUUUCGUUUUUUUUUUUAAAGACUCGAAAGGACUUGAAAUUCAAAGUUUCAGACUUGAGACUUGACUCGGACUUUUACACCAGUGACUUGAGACUCGACUCUGACUUGCCUGACAUUACUUGAGACUUGACUUGAGACUUGAGGAUAAAGACUUGAGACUUACUUGAGACUUGCAAAACAAUGACUUGGUCCCACCUCUGUGCCUGUCCACUCUCCAUCAUUGCUGCUGUGUGUAAAAGGCCUUUUGUCCCAGGGUUAUUGUGGGGUUUGGUGCCUGCUGUGACUUUGUAAUUUGGCUCGUGUCCAUAAAUUAAGGAGUAAAGUACAGUUGUUGUAAACAAACUUUACGUGAAAGGAUGUGAUUUAAAUGUCUAACAUUCACGUUUAACCAAAUGAAAGUAAUUCUUACAAUAACUGAGUAGCAACAUGUUUUUUUUUUGUUUUUUUAAUAUAAGGUUAAUAUUGCUAGCUUAAGGGGAAACGCCAACUCUCCAUCCCUCACCAUCUGCCCAUCAAAAACACACAGACCCCUGACAAUCAGCUGUGGGAUAAAACCUGGCCAGACUCACACUUAACCUGCUAAGAUUAACAAAGACAAGAGCGAGUACAACAGAAACACUGAUUUGGUUCAGUUAUGGCAAUUAGAAAUCACAGUCUUUGCUCUAAAAGAUGGUAUUAACUUUUUUUAAGGAUUCAAAGUAAAAGGCAACACCCAACGAGGCCUACAGAUGCAAGAUUUGGAUGUUGCUCUCGUCAGGGAGAACUCUGCACUGUCAGUGUCAGGAGGAUUGCUCUCUUAUGUGUGUCAUACUCAGGCAGUAUCUGGUCAUCUUUCUUGUUUCACCUUUGUUCAUCCUGUCUGACACGUCUGCGUGUGGCAGCUGUGGAUUGUUACCUUCAUCCUUUGGAAGGAGCGAAGAUCGUGAUUCAACAGUGCAGAUUUAUGCAGGUCAUAAAAGAUAAAGAAAAACAAGGCUGAAUUUAAAGAAAAUGAAGAUUUCAGGUUAGAUAUACAAACAGCUGCAGUGGUGGAAAAUGUUAGAAAGCUUUUGGAUUUAUUAAAGCGGUUUCGAUUUUGUGGCUAAA
ensembl:lncRNA